UACGGAGGGGGCUAGCGUUGUUCGGAAUUACUGGGCGUAAAGCGCGCGUAGGCGGAUUGUUAAGUCAGGGGUGAAAUCCCGGGGCUCAACCUCGGAACUGCAUUUGAAACUGGAUACCUGGAGUUCGGGAGAGGUGCGUGGAAUACCGAGUGUAGAGGUGAAAUUCGUAGAUAUUCGGUGGAACACCAGUGGCGAAGGCGACGAACUGGACCGGUACUGACGCUGAGGUGCGAAAGUGUGGGGAGCAAACAGG
rnacentral:rRNA from 1 species